GACGAACGCUGGCGGCGUGCUUAACACAUGCAAGUCGAACGGAAAGGCCCUGCUUUUGUGGGGUGCUCGAGUGGCGAACGGGUGAGUAACACGUGAGUAACCUGCCCUUGACUUUGGGAUAACUUCAGGAAACUGGGGCUAAUACCGGAUAUGAGCUCCUGCUGCAUGGUGUGGGUUGGAAAGUUUCGGCGGUUGGGGAUGGACUCGCGGCUUAUCAGCCUGUUGGUGGGGUAGUGGCUUACCAAGGCUUUGACGGGUAGCCGGCCUGAGAGGGUGACCGGCCACAUUGGGACUGAGAUACGGCCCAGACUCCUACGGGAGGCAGCAGUGGGGAAUAUUGCACAAUGGGCGGAAGCCUGAUGCAGCAACGCCGCGUGCGGGAUGACGGCCUUCGGGUUGUAAACCGCUUUCGCCUGUGACGAAGCGUGAGUGACGGUAAUGGGUAAAGAAGCACCGGCUAACUACGUG
rnacentral:rRNA from 1 species